rnacentral:rRNA from 1 species
AGCGUAUAUUAAAGUUGUUGCAGUUAAAAAGAUCGUAGUUGAAUUUCGGGAUUUAUCCGUUGGUCGGGCUUUUGGGUCUGUACUGGCGUGAUGGAUUUCUACCUUCUGAAUAACCGGCAUGUCAUUAAUUUGGUGCGCCGGGGAAGCAGGACUGUUACCUUGAAAAAAUUAGAGUGCUUAAAGCAGGCUAUUGCCUGAAUACAUUANCAUGGAAUAAUGAAAUAGGACGGCAUGGUUCUAUUUUGUUGGUUUCUAGGAUCACCGUAAUGAUUAAUAGGGAUAGUUGGGGGCAUUAGUAUUCAAUUGUCAGAGGUGAAAUUCUUGGAUUUAUUGAAGACUAACUUCUGCAAAAGCAUUUGCCAAGGAUGUUUUCAUUAAUCAAGAACGAAAGUUAGGGGAUCGAA